AAACAAUUAAAUAUAAUACAUGCAAUUCACAGACUUACGUUUCUUCCCGGGAAGAAAUCUCACAAAAGUGUCACAAGUAAAAGCCGAAAGUUCCCCCAGGCACUUUUAUCAACUUGACGUUUAAAUGCCCAAAAUAAUUUAUUUGAAAUAUUUUGCACAGAUGACACUAAAAAAACCCCGGCUUCACUAAAAACAGAGCUCUUGCGACGUUGACGGUUGCUGCCGGACUGAGUGGUGACUUGGAGAGCUUGAGGCUUGAGGAAAACAGCUAAGGUAAAGGUGUAUUGGAGGUAACGUACUAACGUGUCUCCCCUCCUACCUUGGCUCUUUCUCUAUCUUAUCCAUUAACUGGUGCCUCUAUUUUAAACCUCUCGUUUCCACCUGCAAACAAUAUACAGACGGAUGUAUUACAUGCAUCUACCUGUGUAGCAGCACAUUCCCGAACAAGUCUCUCGUACAGUGCUGUGCUCGGAUAUCCUUUUAGAUGGUUGUUUACUUGCUAGCAGACAAAGCUUAGGAUGCCAGCCGGUGAGUCAUAGGUCACAGGAGGGAAGAAACAAAAGAUUUAAAAAAAAACUUGGGAACUUAAAACUUACGGUUCAGCUAAAGAUUAUUAUUAUUAUUUUAAUGGAAAUAAAAACCAACAAGGAAAAGGUUCGGGUUUAAAUGCUCAACUUUGAGGUCUUCAGGUCAGGAAGUUUUAAAUAAACAGUCUCUUUUCAUUAAGAUUUUUUUUUCUUUGAGUACUUACGUUGCAUUGCCGACAAUUGCGCUAGAAGUAAUAUUGAAAUUAUGGUUGCGGGUCAAGCAAUGAAGCGAAUCCUUUGGGGUUUUAUAAUUCUACAAGGAAUAAAUAUGCGUGCCAGAGUCCACAUACGGAAAUCAGGGUCGCGUGACCGUAGACCCUGACCGCUGGGAGCCAAUGUCAUGUGAUUCUCGUGACUGGAUGCACUGGAGUUGUCCUUCGUGAUGGUAUAUGUAUACAAAUGUUGUCGAGAAUUAUCUGAGGAUAAUUUGCAAACUAAGUCUAAGUGAAAAAUUAAAUAUUAUAUUUUGGGAGAAAUUUAACGCUUGAAUAAAUUUUUUUUUAGUCCUGUGGAAACAGAUAGUAAGGACAACAAGUUUCGCUAAAUCAUUAGAACUCGUAAUAAAAAUACUGGUUUCAUUUUUAUUGAUACAAGUAUUUUUUUGGUUU